UCCCAGACUCCUACGGGAGGCAGCAGUGGGGAAUAUUGCACAAUGGGGGGAACCCUGAUGCAGCAAUGCCGCGUGAAGGAUGAAGGUUUUCGGAUUGUAAACUUCUUUUGUACGGGACGAAGAAAGUGACGGUACCGUAAGAAUAAGCCACGGCUAACUACGUGCCAGCAGCCGCGGUAAUACGUAGGUGGCAAGCGUUAUCCGGAUUUACUGGGUGUAAAGGGAGCGUAGGCGGCCUGCCAAGUCUGAUGUGAAAUACCGGGGCUCAACCCCGGGGCUGCAUUGGAAACUGGCAGGCUGGAGUGUCGGAGAGGCAGGCGGAAUUCCUAGUGUAGCGGUGAAAUGCGUAGAUAUUAGGAGGAACACCAGUGGCGAAGGCGGCCUGCUGGACGAUGACUGACGCUGAGGCUCGAAAGCGUGGGGAGCAAACAGGAUUAGAUACCCGUGUA
rnacentral:rRNA from 1 species